GAUGAACGCUGGCGGCGCGCCUAAUACAUGCAAGUCGAGCGAACAGACGAGGAGCUUGCUCCUCUGACGUUAGCGGCGGACGGGUGAGUAACACGUGGAUAACCUACCUAUAAGACUGGGAUAACUUCGGGAAACCGGAGCUAAUACCGGAUAAUAUAUUGAACGGCAGGGUUCAAGAGUGAAAGACGGUUUUGCUGUCACUUAUAGAUGGAUCCGCGCCGCAUUAGCUAGUUGGUAAGGUAACGGCUUACCAAGGCAACGAUGCGUAGCCGACCUGAGAGGGUGAUCGGCCACACUGGAACUGAGACACGGUCCAGACUCCUACGGGAGGCAGCAGUAGGGAAUCUUCCGCAAUGGGCGAAAGCCUGACGGAGCAACGCCGCGUGAGUGAUGAAGGUCUUCGGAUCGUAAAACUCUGUUAUUAGGGAAGAACAAAUGUGUAAGUAACUAUGCACGUCUUGACGGUACCUAAUCAGAAAGCAACGGCUAACUACGUG
rnacentral:rRNA from 1 species